UUCUGCAGGGUCCCUGGGCA
rnacentral:miRNA from 1 species